GUGGUAGUCUGCUGGUGGGAAGAGGUGGUCCUGUGCUGGAGGCUAGGCUCUGGCAGGUGCCUAUUGGUGGAGGGGUGGAUCUGGGCCCACUGUGAGCCUGGGUCCUGCACAGGCCAGUGUGGGUGGAUCUGGGCCACUAGGCUUGACCUCUUGCGAUAUUCUACUGGUCAGAAGGGGUGGUCCUGUGCCAGAGAGUAGGCUUUGGCGGGUGUCUGCCCCAUGGGUAGAGGGGUGGACCUGGGCCUAAUGUGAGCCUGGGUCCUGCUUGGGUUGGUGUGGGCCUUUUCUUUCAUUCUUGAAAGUCCCCAGUUCCUGGUUGUCCUGUAACUGCAAACAUAUUAAUCAUUGGCUCCAGGGAUGGUAGGAAUAGCAUAGGACAGAGGAAUCAUGGUUCACUUUUAAACUUCAAAUUAGAUUAGUUUUAAAAAAUCCAUAACCAGGCAUUAGUCUUGAAAGCAGACUCUGUUGAAAGAGAAAAGGGCUAUCAAGAGACUCAGAUCUUAAAUAACGAGAGCCAAGCUAGGCCUUGGCAGAUUAUAAAAUGUUUGCUGUGAGUGUAGAGAGAACUCAGGAAAAAGAGAAGCCACCCUCCCCGAGUGCUGGGGGAGAAAUGGAAUAGAUAGUGAAGUUUUCAUGGGCAUGAUCUGUUCUCCUGGUAGAAUCAGAACCGCUGAAGAGGAUUCAGUAACAAUCAGAUGGUCUGGGUCUCUGGGAAGUUUAGGUAAGUUCUCUGCUUCUCCUGGAGUCUGUGAGCCUCUUAGAAAAGAUUUGGCAUGACUGUUGUGACAGCAUGGUGUGUGUAUUGGGCUAAAUAGACCCCCUUCCCCAAAUUUGCUUUCAUCUGGAACUUCAGAAUGUGCCCUUAUUUAGAAAUAGGUACUGUAAUCAGUUAAGGAUCUUGACAUGAAAUCAUCCUGCAUUUGGGGUGGGCCCUAAAUCCAAUGACUAGUAUCAUCAUAAGAAGAGGAGAGACAUGAGUCUCCAGAUAAAAUCAGAAAUACCUCACUUGUCCAGCGGACAAUGUGUGGAGUACACAGUUCAUGCUCGAUGCUGUCAGGAUAGGAAGUUCCCCCUGCACCCAGGCACCAUCUGGGGAGGAAACAGGUGUAUGGCCAGAACUCCUUUGGAAAGAGGAAGCAGACCUAAUGAGAAGUGUGAACUUGGAAAAUGAGUGACUAUUUACCUAAAAGAAAUGGAAAGAAGGCCAUGUGUAGAUGGAGGCCGAAUUGGAGUGAUGCUUCCCUGAAUGAAAGAAUACCAAUAGCUGCUAGAAAUGGGAAGAGGCCAGGAAGGGGUCCUCCCUAGAGAUUUUGGCAGGAGCAUGGCCCUGCUGACACUUCAAGACUUCUACUCUCCAAAACUAUGAGAGAAUAAAUGUCAUCUGAGGCCUCCUGGUACGUGGUACUUUGUCCAGCAGACCAAGCAAAUGGAAGCAAUGUGGGAGCAGGUGGCUAUGCUGUCACUUUGGACCAUGCUUCUGGUGGCCCGUGUCCAUGUGCUACCAAUAGGAAUUUGAUUAUGUAU
rnacentral:lncRNA from 1 species